GAUGAACGCUGGCGGCAGGCUUAACACAUGCAAGUCGAGCGAGCGGCGGACGGGUGAGUAAUGUCUGGGAAACUGCCUGAUGGAGGGGGAUAACUACUGGAAACGGUAGCUAAUACCGCAUACCAUCAAAUAUGCCCAGAUGGGAUUAGCUAGUAGGUGGGGUAAUGGCUCACCUAAGAGAAGAUCCCUAGCUGGUCUGAGAGGAUGACCAGCCAAACUGGAACUGUCACACGGUCCGGCGUCAUACGAGAGGCAGCAAUGGGGAAGAUUCCACAAAGGGCGUAAGCCUGAGGCAGCCAAGCCGCGUGUGUGAAGACGGCCAUAGGGUGGUAAAGCACGUUCAGCGAGGAGGCGUUAAUCACCGAAGAAGCAACGGCUAACUCCGGGCCAGCAGCCACGGUAAUAC
rnacentral:rRNA from 1 species